rnacentral:rRNA from 1 species
CCUACGGGUGGCAGCAGUGGGGGAUAUUGCACAAUGGGGAAACCCUGAUGCAGCGACGCCGCGUGUGGGAAGACGGUCCCCUGGAUUUUUAAACUCUGUUCCCCGGGGCGCAGAUGACGGUACCUGGGGAUGAAGCCCCGGCUAACUACGUGCCAGAAGACGUGGGAAUACGGAGGGAGCGAGCGUUGUACGGAAUUACUGGGUGAAAAGUGAGCGUAGGCGGGGAUGCAAGUUGGGUGUAAAAACUACCGGCUCAACUGGUAGUCGCACACAAAACUGCAGCUGUUGAGUGAAGUAGAGGCAGGCGGAAUUCCUAGUGUAGCGGUGAAAUGCGUAGAUAUUAGGAGGAACACCAGUGGCGAAGGCGGCCUGCUGGGCUUUUACUGACGCUGAGGCUCGAAAGUGUGGGGAGCAAACAGGAUUAGAUACCCCAGUAGUC